GGGAGCCCUGCACCAACGAUUGUUGUGCAUACAUAACUUCAAAUAAACCAUGUCAACCACCUGAAACUCACAGUCCAUUAUAUGCUUAUCAACCUGCUGGUGCAUAUGAGACAUAGCUCGUUGAGGAUGAUGCUUUAGCAAGGCAAUUGCUGACUCACAUCCUCGCAAUUGAAAGUCCACUGCCUCAACAUUUGAAUCGCUCAGCACAUAUGGAAUAUACAAAGGAGGCUGAACACCAUAUAAAUCUUCAAAUGGUGUCAUA
rnacentral:misc_RNA from 1 species